rnacentral:rRNA from 1 species
GACGAACGCUGGCGGCGUGCUUAACACAUGCAAGUCGAACGGAAAGGCCCUGCUUUUGUGGGGUGCUCGAGUGGCGAACGGGUGAGUAACACGUGAGUAACCUGCCCUUGACUUUGGGAUAACUUCAGGAAACUGGGGCUAAUACCGGAUAGGAGCUCCUGCUGCAUGGUGGGGGUUGGAAAGUUUCGGCGGUUGGGGAUGGACUCGCGGCUUAUCGGCUUGUUGGUGGGGUAGUGGCUUACCAAGGCUUCGACGGGUAGCCGGCCUGAGAGGGUGACCGGCCACAUUGGGACUGAGAUACGGCCCAGACUCCUACGGGAGGCAGCAGUGGGGAAUAUUGCAGAAUGGGCGGAAGCCUGAUGCAGCAACGCCGCGUGCGGGAUGACGGCCUUCGGGUUGUAAACCGCUUUCGCCUGUGACGAAGCGUGAGUGACGGUAAUGGGUAAAGAAGCACCGGCUAACUACGUG